GGACCCGCACAAGCGGUGGAGCAUGUGGUUUAAUUCGAAGCAACGCGAAGAACCUUACCAGGUCUUGACAUCCGCUGCAUAGCCUAGAGAUAGGUGAAGUCCUUCGGGACAGCGAGACAGGUGGUGCAUGGUUGUCGUCAGCUCGUGUCGUGAGAUGUUGGGUUAAGUCCCGUAACGAGCGCAACCCUUAUUACUAGUUGCCAGCAUUCAGUUGGGGACUCUAGUGAGACUGCCGGUGACAAACCGGAGGAAGGUGGGGAUGACGUCAAAUCAUCAUGCCCCUUAUGACCUGGGCUACACACGUGCUACAAUGGAUGGUACAACGAGCAGCUAAGCCGCGAGGCCACGCGAAUCUCUGAAAGCCAUUCCCAGUUCGGAUUGUUCUCUGCAACUCGAGAGCAUGAAGCCGGAAUCGCUAGUAAUCGUGGAUCAGCACGCCACGGUGAAUACGUUCCCGGGUCUU
rnacentral:rRNA from 1 species